UGGAAAAAAAAAAAAAAAAGGCAGUUGUAUCCCAGGAUGCAGUGCAACAGCUAGCUAUAAGAUAAGGCUCGCGGGAAACUUUCGUUCUCUUUUUCAAGACGCUUGAUAAGAUGCUAGUACUUUCUACCGAAGACGUUUUUCAAGGUUGCAGUAUGGAUAUUGAGCUGAACUGUGAAGGUGGAGUGCGCAGAAGUUACCAGGUUUUUUGAAUAUGAAGAAAGGAAGUCUUAUUGGGUCUCAUGAGUUUGUGCAACUUGUGGGUAUUUCUGGGUCCUCGUAUGGUGAGGAUACUGUCAUGAGCAUGAAAAGGAACAGACACCUGGACUCGUGUGAACAAGCUGAGCUGAGGUGCUUCUUGGAUGUAGAGUGGAAAGACAAGGAAGGAUUUGACUAUCUGCAUGCUUGCAACUUUCCAGGAUAACAUUGGAACUUCUGCAUCCAGGCAUAAAGGUGGUGCUCAUGUAAAACACUCAAGUAGUCUGAACGAGAGCAAUGUCCAGUAAAUCCUUGGCACAGUGAAUUUGACGCUGUUGUAUCGGCUGGUGUCUGGAAAUGCUUGAGGAUCUACAAAGUAGAAAACAGUGUCUAGUUGACAAUGGCAAAAUUAGUUUCUUACAAAGUUAGCAAAGCUUCUGCAUUGGCUGAAGCUUUCCUGAUUAAUGGAAUAAAGUUGUAUUUGCAGUCCUUGUAA